rnacentral:rRNA from 1 species
AUUGAACGCUGGCGGCAGGCCUAACACAUGCAAGUCGAGCGGAUGAAGGGAGCUUGCUCCUGGAUUCAGCGGCGGACGGGUGAGUAAUGCCUAGGAAUCUGCCUGGCAGUGCGGUAUAACGUCCGGAAACGGGCGCUAAUACUGCAUACGACCUGAGGCAGAAAGUGGGGGAGCUUCGGACCUCACGCUAUCAGAUGAGCCUAGGUCGGAUUAGCUAGUUGGUGGGGUAGAGGCCUACCAAGGCGACGAUCCGUAACUGGUCUGAGAGGAUGAUCAGUCACACUGGGAGUGAGACACGGUCCAGACUCCUACGGGAAGCAGCAGUGGGGAAUCGUGGGCCAUGGGCGAAAACCUGAUCCAGCCGUGCCGCGUGUGUGGAGAAGGUCUUCGGAUGGUAAAGCACUUUAAGUUGGGAGGAAGGGCAGUAAGUUAAUACCUUGCUGUUUUGACGUUACCAGCAGAAUAAGCACCGGCUAACUUCGUG